rnacentral:rRNA from 1 species
UACAGAGACUGCGAGCGCUACUCGGAUUCACUGGGCGUAAAGGGUGCGUAGGCGGCUAAAUGUGUCAGAUGUGAAAUCCCGGGGCUCAACUCCGGAACUGCGUCUGAAACUAUUUAGCUAGAGACUCGGCGAGGUAAGCGGAAUUCCAAGUGUAGUAGUGAAAUGCGUAGAUAUUUGGAGGAACACCGAAGGCGAAGGCAGCUUACUGGAAGAGUUCUGACGCUGAGGCACGAAAGCGUGGGGAUCAAAAGGG